UGAGGAAUAUUGGUCAAUGGGCGAGAGCCUGAACCAGCCAAGUAGCGUGCAGGAUGACGGCCCUAUGGGUUGUAAACUGCUUUUAUGUGGGGAUAAAGUGCGUGACGUGUCAUGCAUUGCAGGUACCACAUGAAUAAGGACCGGCCAAUUCCGUGCCAGCAGCCGCGGUAAUACGGAAGGUCCGGGCGUUAUCCGGAUUUAUUGGGUUUAAAGGGAGCGUAGGCUGUCUAUUAAGCGUGUUGUGAAAUUUACCGGCUCAACCGGUGGCUUGCAGCGCGAACUGGUCGACUUGAGUAUGCAGGAAGUAGGCGGAAUUCAUGGUGUAGCGGUGAAAUGCUUAGAUAUCAUGACGAACUCCGAUUGCGCAGGCAGCUUACUGUAGCAUAACUGACGCUGAUGCUCGAAAGUGCGGGUAUCAAACAGG
rnacentral:rRNA from 1 species